rnacentral:lncRNA from 1 species
GAAGGCAUGAGCUUUAAUUGUAGGGUGGAGCUGUAUCUGUGUCUGAGAUACCCUGUCUAAGGCCAGCUUACCUGAGUACACCUUUGGAUGGAUGCUGGGAAGACAAUUUCAUUUCAUCUUUCCUGCCACUCUACACUGACUGACAAGGAAUUCAGCUCAAGGUCACUGUGUAACCUGCACCCAUGUCAUGUCCAAGUGCAUGGAGAUGUAGGUGGAACUGUCUGCCCUGUUGUUAUCUUCCAUGGAAAUAAUGAAGAAGAAACCAGAGGAAAACAAGAAAGUGGGAUUUAUUCCAUCACAACCAAGGGUUCUGCUCACGCUUCUACAUGUCUGCAGGUUGCAGAGACUAUGGCCCAGAGAAAUUUUAAGCAGAAGAAAUACCUCUUUUCAGCUUUCCAUUUUACCAGCCUCAACAAACCAAAAGCUCAGAUUGUUCUUUGCCACAUUCCCUCUUUCCCUUGUUUAACACUGAGUGGUCUCAUCAGAGACCAGCAGUGACACUCACACACACUCAGACCUCUUCUGACAAACACUUCACCAGGUCCCUGUGGAGAUUGUAUUAGCCCCCUGACCUCACUGGCUGUGGUGGUGUCAGUAACCAGGCAUCCUCUGGCAGAGGAUGCUCAAGGCUUUCUUCUCUUCAGACAUUUCCAGCUGAUGAGUUCCCAAUUUACAACAGAAUUUCUCAUUAUUGAUGUAGUCGAUUAUUAACACAGUGUUGUACUUACCACAUUUCUGCUAUUUGGGUCCUGAGGAUCAUCUUUCUAUGUGAUGCCUCAGAGUCUGUUAAUUUUUACUGAGUUUAUUAAAGUUGCUGAAUUUUAACCUAUUUUCAUUUGCCUGGCUUGAGACAUAAUCAACAACUAAGAUUCUAGUGAUGUACCACUGUAAACAGCUCAGUCUGAGGAAUCAGCCAUGUCUAUUUGUAAAUUCAUGCAUAUGUUUGUAUGCCUCACCCUCUACCCCCAUAUUUUAUGCAUACCCAGAAUAAGAUGCCAGCAAAAAUGACAAAAGAUUAUCUAAUGAGCCAUCUAGCUAUAAUACUUAUCUAAAUUAAACACUGUGUAAAAUAAAUUAGUUUGCUAAAGAAAAUGAAACA